CCUACGGGGGGCUGCAGUGGGGAAUAUUGCACAAUGGGGGAAAUCCUGAUGCAGCGACGCCGCGUGAGUGAAGAAGUAUUUCGGUACGUAAAGCUCCAUCAGCAGGGAAGAAAAUGACGUUACCUGACUAAGAAGCCCCGGCUAACUACGUGCCAGCAGCCGCGGGAAGACGUAGGAGGCCAGCGUUAUCCGGAUUUACUGGGUGUAAAGGGAGCGUAGACGGCUGCGCAAGUCUGGAGUGAAAUCCCAUGGCUUAACCAUGGAACUGCUUUGGAAACUGUGCAGCUAGAGAGCAGGAGAGGUAGGCGGAAUGCCUAGUGUAGCGGUGAAAUGCGUAGAUAUUAGAAGGAACACCGAUGGCGAAGGCAGCUUACUAGGCUGUAUCUGACGUUGAGGCUCGAAAGCGUGGGGAGCAAACAGGAUUAGAUACCCCUGUAGUC
rnacentral:rRNA from 1 species